CCAGCCUCUGCCCUCCCCUGAGGAGCACCGAAGUCCAAGCCCCCAGAGGCAGCCGAGAGCUGGAUGGCACCCCCAGGAUGACAUCAAAGGAGGAGGCCCUGUGAGCCCUGCCCCCGCGCACAGGCAGGGAGCCCUUCCUGAGCUGCAGAGGAAGAUACAGCAGGUGGAAGACAAUUUGGAUGAGCUGAAUGAGGAGUUCUUCCAGCUCACUGCUCAAGCCUUAGCGCUCCAGAAAGAAGAGGACAGAACAAGCCAACUGCCACCUAGCAAAGGCAGUCCGUGUGUGGUGGUUCCCAGGAUCUGCCCCUCUGAGCAGCAUGAAGACAGACCCCACCAGGGAAAGGCAGGUGUCCCCAGCGGAAAGAACCUGGGACCCUGGGCCCUGCAGAGCAGCCAGGCCCUGGCACUGGAGGCCAGGAGAGCCUGGGUGGCCCGCAGGGCAGAAGAGCUGGAGUGGGAACUAUCCUUGCUCGUCCAGGUGGCGGCUGGCAGCCGGCUGAGCCUGGGGAGGCGCUGAGUCAGAGGAGGCCGGGCUCCUUCUCCAGGGGCUUGGCCAGGCGCCUCUGCUGUCUGCUGGCAGGAAGGGGGCGUAUGUGCUCAGCUUUGGGACCUGCUCCUUCAAAGCCCAGCAGGCAGCCUGUGUUGGUUUCUGCCUGUGAUCCUUGGGGUGAAGGAAAAUAAAGUCACACAG
ensembl:lncRNA